CACACACUAUAUAUGUGUGUCUAUAUAUGGAGAGAGAGAGACCUAGGAAAACCUGCUGCCACUGCAAGCUCCACUUAAAAUUUCCUGAUCAGCUGAGUAGCUCGCUGCAUCGUUUUCUUAAAUGCCACCUGACGGGAAGGGAUCAUCACUCAGCCUGUGCUCUUCAUUUUUGUUAGCGAGGAAGACUUGUUGAGCACCUUGUUCUCCAGCGCCCAAGAAGAAGCCCUGCUGCUGGGAGCACAGAAGAGCUGGGAUCGUGCCCUAAGAGCUCCCCGAAUUUCACCCACUUUGCAGCUGCUGUUACUAAUUGAGCCCCCCCGGCCCCCUCGUCUCUGUCUCCCGGACCGAAGCGUGAGCGAGGAUCUGCUCUUUAAAGUUGAUCUGAAGGGGAAGGCAGAGAUGAGCUGGUGCCUAGUUCUGAGGAGAUUGAUGUAUCCGAGGAGGAAGAUAUAGAGCCACUGGAGAAACCGAAGUUCAAUAAAUUGCCAGGUCUUUCAGAUGCCACAAUUGGAGUUGGAUUUCUUCAGGACCUGAAGAAGAGCUCUCUGGAGCUCAAAAGCUUGCUUGUCUUACAACAGAAGUUGGUCCAAUAAAAGGCUACUGGAACUGAAUUCAGCAAUCAGGCACAACUUCAAGUAUCUGAAAAAAUGCAUUGGACAAAUGAUCAGAGAGCAACCAGUGGGCCAUAACAAAACACAUGACUAAAAAUCAAAACAAAGGAAAUUUGUCCACAGAAAUACCAUACCUAUUCCAAUGUCUGAGCACAAAAGGGAAGAGCUAAAGGUUUGGAAGACAGCUCUUUGGAUGCUACUAUUAUUAAUACUAAAUUUCUUAGCUGAUACCUUUUAACCAAAUAUAGGAUCGGACUGUUUCUCAGGAGUCUGCUGCAAAUCGCCCCCCGCCCCCCAAAAAACAACAGCAAAUGCAAGGAAAUGCUCCCAGCACCGGGGACUCAACUGUCAGAAUAAGAAAGGAACAGUAGACCAGCUUGUUCGUGGAUUUUACAGCGCUGGAUGUCUGGGGAAAAAAUCGUUUCCCAGACUAGCGAGGACUAGAUUUUUCUCCCUGAAAGAAGUCAUCCCAAUGUAAACGUAGCUCUCUUUAAUAAGCAAGUCGGUGGCUGUAUUUUCUUUCACUGGGACUUUCUAAUGGUGGUAUAAUUCCUGAUGAGAUUGAUUUCCGUUAGCUAAUGAAUUUUCACUACCAUUUAGAAACAAAAAUGAUAGCAUCCCUGUGGAAGAGGAUCUUCAAAUAAGAGGGGAACAUUUCAUGAAUGGCUAGCUUAACUGCAGGCAGGCAGGCAGUUGAUUUCUACUGAAGAAAAUAUCAAACACCUGGACUUUGUAGUUUGUUUUUAACCAUGCACCUUAGAGAGAGAGAAAUUUUUCCACGGGGGGAGAGGAGGGGUAUUAUUAGUCUAUUAAAAUGUGGGAUGGACGUUAUUACUAGAGGGAGCCGUUCUUACAUCCUGUUGUAACUCUGCGCGUGGUAUUGUUUAUGCUUGUUCACAUCUUACUGUAACUGCACUGACCCCCUCUCCCUUUUGAGGGUGAAGGGCAUAUUUAAAACUCCCAUAUCGUUUCCUUUUCUACGUGGUGCUGAAAAAGGAUUUAAAGUGAGAACGAAAUCCGGAUUGUGUUGCCUUAUUGUGGAGCUCCUCAACCCGCCCCGUGUCAAACCUCUCCGGCCGAUGUGCUUGGGUCAGUGCUUCCCACCACAGCUCCCCAUUAUUAGGUAUUGUUUUGUCUGACACGCUGAUCAACUGAGGUUUAUUUUCCAAACACCCCGCUUUGCUACCUGUCAUUUCUUUGUGGGUCCUAAACUGUGCGGUGUUGACAGGUCCAUGCACUGCUAAAUGAGAGAGCCUGGAAAGCCACCAUGGGGUUUACCCUGGGGUUUCCGAUUAGUGAUGCAUCAGCUCAAGCAGAGGUUGGGUUUCUUUGAGUGUGGUGGCUGUGUUGUUUUUUGUUUGUUUUUAAGAAAGCUACGCACUCUUUUAAUUCAUUUUACCAAUCUGCGUGUGUGUAUAUGCCCUAAAUUCAACCACAAACUUUAAAGUGCCACUCCUCCAUGCACAUCUUCCCCCAGAGUCUGGUGUCAGUUACGCU